UUUUAUAAUUGAUUUGGACUUUAUAUUUAGGUUGGACUAAAAAUCAAAUAAUAAAAAUCUAUAUUAUAUAUAUAAUUAUUUAUUUAUAUAAAUUAUAUAAAUAUAAAAUAUAUGUAUUCGAGCUGCUAUUGAGUCACCUGGUAGACAGCUAGGAGUGUUAACAAGCCGAACACGAGCUGACUCACGAACAAGAAGUUAAGAGAAUUACAAAGGACAUAUAUAGAAAAUAAAUUUAUAAAAUUUUACUCAUUAGAUUUUGAUCUAAUGUUUGAAAUUUUAUAUAUAUGAUGAGCCUUUUUAUAAUUGAUUUGGACUUUAUAUUUAGGAUGGACUAAAAAUCCGAUAAUAAAAAUCUGUAUUAUAUAUAUAAUUAUUUAUUUAUAUAAAUUAUAUAAAUAUAAAAUAUAUGUAUUUGAGUUGUUAUCGAGUCGAACACGAGCGAGCUGACCCCAACUCGUGUUCAGCUCGUUUAUAAACAAGCUAAAAAAUUCAGCUCACGUUCAGCUCGUUUAUUAAACGAGUGAUUCGAUCUCGAGCUCAUUUUGAUCCGAACACGAACUCAUGAACAGUGAGCUGGAUUGCCAUCCUAUAGAUGGCUCAACUUCUAUGGACAAAUAAAAAGAUAAGACGUGGUACAAGGCGUUGUUUGGUUGAGGGACAAAAUGGAAAUAGACCGCUUUAUUCCUCUAAUUCAUCCAAACACUAGAAAAGAGAAUGAGUUUAUUUAAUCCCCUCUUAACGGGCUAUUUUAGAAUAAUCCGUUAAGAGGGAGGAAUUAUUGUUCCACCCUAUUGGUGGAAUAACAAUUGUUUCACUUUAUACCUCUAUUAAUUUAAUAAUAAAAUAUUAUUAAUUAAUAUAUUACAUAUUAUUUUAUUAAUUAAUUAGCUAAAUUAAUAAUUAACUAAUUUAAUAAUAGAAUAUCAGCUAAAUUAAUAAUUAUUUAUUUAUUUGUGUGUUUAUAUAAU
rnacentral:lncRNA from 1 species